rnacentral:rRNA from 1 species
UGGGGAAUUUUGGACAAUGGGCGAAAGCCUGAUCCAGCAAUGCCGCGUGUGUGAAGAAGGCCUUCGGGUUGUAAAGCACUUUUGUCCGGAAAGAAAUCCUUGGCUCUAAUACAGUCGGGGGAUGACGGUACCGGAAGAAUAAGCACCGGCUAACUACGUGCCAGCAGCCGCGGUAAUACGUAGGGUGCAAGCGUUAAUCGGAAUUACUGGGCGUAAAGCGUGCGCAGGCGGUUUGCUAAGACCGAUGUGAAAUCCCCGGGCUAACCUGGGAACUGCAUUGGUGACUGGCAGGCUAGAGUAUGGCAGAGGGGGGUAGAAUUCCACGUGUAGCAGUGAAAUGCGUAGAGAUGUGGAGGAAUACCGAUGGCGAAGGCAGCCCCCUGGGCCAAUACUGACGCUCAUGCACGAAAGCGUGGGGAGCAAACAGGAUUAGAUACCCUGGUAGUCCACGCCCUAAACGAUGUCAACUAGUUGUUGGGGAUUCAUUCCUUAGUAACGUAGCUAACGCGUGAAGUUGACCGCCUGGGGAGUACGGUCGCAAGAUUAAAACUUAAAGGAAUUGACGGGGUCAUAGCUG